rnacentral:rRNA from 1 species
AUUGAACGCUGGCGGCAGGCCUAACACAUGCAAGUCGAGCGGAGGAAGGGAGCUUGCUCCUGGAUUCAGCGGCGGACGGGUGAGUAAUGCCUAGGAAUCUGCCUGGUAGUGGGGGAUAACGUCCGGAAACGGGCGCUAAUACCGCACACGUCCUGAGGGAGAAAGUGGGGGAUCUUCGGACCUCACGCUAUCAGAUGAGCCUAGGUCGGAUUAGCUAGUUGGUGGGGUAAGGGCCUACCAAGGCGACGAUCCGUAACUGGUCUGAGAGGAUGAUCAGUCACACUGGAACUGAGACACGGUCCAGACUCCUACGGGAGGCAGCAGUGGGGAAUAUUGGACAAUGGGCGAAAGCCUGAUCCAGCCAUGCCGCGUGUGUGAAGAAGGUCUUCGGAUUGUAAAGCACUUUAAGUUGGGAGGAAGGGCAGUAAGUUAAUACCUUGCUGUUUUGACGUUACCAACAGAAUAAGCACCGGCUAACUUCGUG